UGCGUUAGUUCAGCAGUGAACUGAGUACCCCUGUCGCAUAGAAUCUCCCUAGGGAAUCCUACCGAGAGAAGACUUGUACUAAGGCAUUAGCUAUGGUGUCCGCCUGAAUAUUGGAUAGAGCCACUGCCUCUGGGUAGCGGGUAGCGUAGUCCACCACGGUAAAAAUGUAUCUCUUUCUGGAUGGACUAGGGGUGGCGAGGGGCCCUACUAGGUCAAUGGCUACCCAGCUAAAAGGU